UCUCUCUAUCGUGGUGAUUUGGCCGGCCGGCUUGCAGCCACGUAAAAUAAGUCGCUAAAGGGCCGAGGUGAGUUCCAA
rnacentral:ncRNA from 2 species